AGAUCCUACUUCUGUAAUUAUAGAUAGGUAUUUAUAAAAAUAUCAUUUUACACCAACAUCCAUGGUCGAACGAUUCGUUAAGAAAACCUGUACGGUUUAAAUUCUUCGAGUUAUGUCAACCUGUUGAAAAAUCAGAAGGAAAAUUAAUAAUUACAAAGGUGAGGAAUUAAUGAAUCAUAAAUUACAGGGAAAAUUACUGUUUAUUUCAUCUGAUUUGAAUAACCGGAACAUGACUGUGGAGCUAUAUUAUACAAUAGUACUUGGAUAUUCAACAAUGAGAAUUCGUGUCGAUAAAUCAGGCUCGAGGAGUAAAGAAGAAGCGGCUUCAGAAGCAGAACGUAAGCGGAUUGGGAAUCUCGAUGGACGGUUAACUAUCGACUAAGCCCGACUUAACUCUGGCAGGUCGGUAAAACCGACAGCAGAGAGCAGAAGCAACGGGUAAACUUACUUGUAUUUCGUCUUGCCGUCCCAGAUUUCUGCCGAUAUUUUCCUCUGACUGAACCAACGACCGUUCAAUAAUUGAAUACAAGCCUGUGCUUCUGCUGGUUCUCGAAAUGUUACCUGGGCAACACCUUCUGGAUGUCUCUGUAAAGAACAAAAAAGGUUCAGUUCAAACUUCUAAACUUUUCCUUCUACAAAAAUUGAAUAAAUAUCACACUGAAAUUAAAUAUCGAACGAAAAGUGUUCGAAUACGUUCAUACGUCACUGUAUGUAAGUAACAGAAGAAACCAACGAUCGUUAUAUCGUUCUUUUCUUUUUCGAAAUUUUAUCUUUCAUACGCUUCGUUCUAACAGAAUUUUGUUACGUUCGUGGUCGUAGAAUUUUGUUGGUUUACUUCAAUUUUCUCGUUUCACUGUUGGAACUUAACUCAAAUCGACAAAAUGUACGCUAUAAUUAAACAAUGGCCUAGUUAGUUAAACCAAGAUAUACGCUCAUCGUCUUUCCAUUCGCAUCACACUCGCUUUUGUACCAAGAUGAAUCCCUGUCUUCCCCUUUUACGACUUGAGGUUGGCCUCGCGUCGCCCACAGUCCCUCACAAUACUUUUCUCGUCUCGGACUUAAACCACAAUUUAUGAGCCUUCGGUUUGAACAUUAAUUUUACUGUCUGACCCCAUGCGCGACAUGAGAUUCUUUGUUCUUUUCUUACGUUGUACCUCGUUAGAUCAAUCGGCACACUCUUCGUUUUAUCCAUUAGCCUUCGUUACAGAUACACGAUAAACAUACGUACGUUCGGAUUUGUAGUUGAAAAAUUGCACGUGCAUACGCUCGAUAAUUACUUUAUAUAUUUUACAAAGUAUAAAUUUAGAAUAAAUCGUUCGAUCGCGCAGAAGUCGCUAAAAAGAAAAGAAAAAAUAAAAGAAGAAAAGACAAAAAAGGAUGG
rnacentral:misc_RNA from 1 species